ACCAAAUCUCAACGAUGGAUAUCUUGGUUCCCAUUACGAUGAAGAACGCAGCGAAGUGCGAUAAGCAAUGCGAAUUGCAGAACCGUGAGUCAUCAGAUUUUUGAACGCGACUGGCGCUAGAUGGCUAUCCAUCUAGCAUGCUUGUUUCAGUG
rnacentral:rRNA from 1 species